ensembl:snRNA U7 U7 small nuclear RNA
UAGUGUUACAGCUCUUUUAGAAUUUGUCUAGUGGGGCUUUUGGUUUUUGCUGGAAAGUCCCCU